rnacentral:rRNA from 1 species
CGUGAAAUUGUUGAAAGGGAAACGAUUGAAGUCAGUCGUACCGACGAGAAAUCAACUUAUCGUGUGCGAACUUGUGGGCGUGCGUGAGUUUCGGCCUCGCUGUUUGCAUGUUUGUGCGUUUUGGGUGUACUUUUUCGUAUGGUAGGCCAACAUCAGUUUCGAUCACCAUAAAAUGACCGGCGGAAUGUAGCUUCGAUCUCGGUUGAAGUGUUAUAGCAUCUGGAAGAUGUGAUGAUUGGGACUGAGGA